rnacentral:lncRNA from 1 species
AGAAACUAUAGACAGUUUCUUCAAAGAUCUAAUGCAAGAGAGGAAGAGGUGGUUUCAGGAUGGAAAAACUCAGCCUCCUUGUCUAGCAGAUGAGUUUGGAUCUCAAAAUUGUAUGUGCUCCCAUAACAAGAUGCAUAACUAAACUCCUUGGAACCAUGACUUGAAAUGGUCAUGAUUAUCAAGUAUGUUUUUGAUGCAAGAGUGACUCAAUAAAAUUUAUGAUCUAAAUCGAUCUAUAGUUUUCUAAUAAAUUUAUAUGUAUACUUUCUUUGUUGUGCUUUUACACGAAUGUUACUCAAUAAAAUUUGUAAUAUAGAGUCAUUUAGAGUUUUCAAAUCAAUUUUUAUGUAUACGUUGUUUACAAAUUUUGUAAUUUAACUUUUUACAAUUAGGAAUGGCAAUAGUUUGGGUUCGGGUGGGUUAGGGCGGGGCAAACCUCAACCCGCUAAGAGUUAAACCCCCCCUACCCCGUCCCAUUUAAAAAAUUUUCAAUAGUGUUACUUGUCCCGCCCUGCCCCGUUUAAGUUUUAAUUUACACUUUUUAUAUGAUCUACACUCUUAUUGAUCUACAGUCCCAUUAAUUCAUUCACUUGUUACUAACACACGGUUUGACAGUUGAUAGGAAUUUUGGAUUAGUAUUACAAUUGUACUAGAAAAUGAGACAUGUUCAGGGGUGGCUCGACAGUAUUAAAAAAAAAAAAGGAUAUUGAAUUUUUAUAAGUUAUAAUUUUUAAAAAAAGGGAUAAUGCCCAAGUACCCCCUCAGCCUAUGUCCGAAAUCUCAGAGACACACUUAUACUAUACUAAGGUCUUAUUACUCACCUGAACUUAUUUCAUUAAUAAUUUUUUACCCCUUUUUGACCUACGUGGCACUAUCUUGUGGGCCCAACGAUUGUUGACUUUUUUAAAAAAAACUAGUGCCACGUAUGCUAAAAAGGGGUAGAAAAUUACUUAUAAAAUAAGUUCAGGGGGUAAUAGGACCUUAGUAUAGUAUAAGUGUGUCUCUGGGAUUUCGGGCAUAGGUUGAGGAGGUACUUGUGCAUUAUCCCUUAAAAAAAUAUUGAAUUGUAGAAAAAGUAAACUUUUUAUGAAAAAUGAAAGAAUUAUUAGAAGAAAUUUGACUUAUUUGGAUUACUGUAUCUCUAAAAAAUAUUUUAAAAUAAGAAAGGAUAUAUUAUCAAUUGAAAAUUAGAAGAAAUCAAUCAUAUAAAAAUUAAUAACUAUUCAGUUUAAGGCCCCGUUUGAUUUUUGCUUUAGGCCACUAAUAUGCUUGAGCCGCUCCUGGACAUGUCCUUUUCCAAUCAAACCCUUGAGUUAGUGUGUGUUCGGUUGUUUGUCUAAAUUUUCGAAAAAUAUUUUCUUUAUGAAAAUAAUUUUUUAAAAUAAGAAAAAAUGAUUUUUUAGUGGAAGUAAUGAAAAAUAAAUUCCACAAACUCUUUACAUUUACUAUGUCCUCCCCACUUAUUCAAUAUGAUUAGGGUGAAAAAAUACAUUCUAAGAAGCAGUAUAUAUCAGUUAUAGGUUAUUAAUUCUAAAUAUAGAAAGAUGGAAAAUAUAUUGAACAUUCUGAGGAUAGAUGAAAGAGCUGCUGUUAAUUACAUGCACUUGUUCACUUAUUUCAUUCAAAUAUUGUCUACACAUUUAUAUAUACACUACUCUUGGAAACGUGCGUUGCACGUUUGAUCUCUACUAUUAUAGACAAUUUAUAUAAGCCUAACUUCAUAGAUAUAAAAAUGAUCGUGGUUACUAAUUAAAGUCGCGAACAUUCAACUCAAUCGUCAAAAGAUUAAUUUCAGUCUCCUUGAAGAAUCCAACAUGUCUUCUCUCAUUGCAAGCUCCAUUAGAAGUAGUAAGAAUUUGCAAGAGAACAUUUGAUAUUUUCACGAUCUUUUUGUAAAUAUCCAAGAAUUUAUGAGAUACUCGAGAUGCAUCUUUGAGGAAUAUAUAUUAGCCUUUUAUAACGACAUGAUCUAGAGUGUAGAGUAACCUCCAAGAAUCCUAACAGAAAUAAAACCCGUCUCGUGAAGUACAAUUCCAAGGAAUUGAAGAACACAUCUAAGGAUCCAAUUCUGGUGGUUCUUGUUAAAAAUAUCAUUUACUAAUUAAAGUAUGCUCUCUCUAAUAGUUAAAACUUUUAGAUGAGAUGAUCACACACUUCAACUUGAUAUUAGAGCCGACAAAGGUCUUGUAAUCGAAUCUUACGCCACCCAAAUUAUAUCAAGGCACCCUUAUACCUCCAACAUUAAGGUAAGUUUCUGCCAUAUAAUUCUAAGCCUUUUAAUUAGUUUUUAAUAAUAAAUUACGCAAUACAAUCCUAGCUGAAAGAGUUGAUUUGGUUCUUGUGUAAUAAAACUAAAUGGAAGAUGAAUUAACAUGAAUAUUUGGUAGGAAGAUAAUUAGUACAAAAUAAAAAUCAUGAUAGUAUCUUAGUAGCCAUAAAAUGAUUUCAUAUUCUUAACCUUGACAUUUUUGACAUAUAGUGAUGUCAUGGAUGACAUCAAUAUGAUGAAAUCAUUCAUAUAAAUAGGUAGCUCUUAAUUCAUUUUCAAAUCAUCCUUUCACUUGACUUCUCACCUUUUAAGGCAUUUGUGUUCUCUCUCUAGUAGUAUUUCACUUGUAUUAUUUGUAAAAUGAAAUACAUAUUGGUGCAAUUGUACUUUAAUGGAUGUAGGAUCAUUUUGAUCCAAACCAUGUUAAAUAUUGUUGUUCUUCCUUGUUCUUUAAUUUCACGUUUUCGCUAACAAUUAGUAUCAGAGCUAAGAUUUUACCUGAGUAUGCUAUGGGGUUACAGCACGGUCUAAACUUCAACAACAGAAAAGAAUUACUUUGAUUUUUUGUAGUUCCAAAUACAUUGUAGUAGAAAAGGAAGACCAAAUAAAAAAAUGAGUCGUAUGAAGUUUGAAAUUGAUAGAUUUAGUGGACGCAACAACUUUAAUAUCUGGGAAAUCCAGAUGAUUGCGUUACUAUGGAGGGAAGGUUCAAUCCAUGCUAUUAAUGGAAAAUGCCCCGAUAAGAUAUCGGAUUUCGACAAGGAGAAUAUUGAAGGAGAUGCAUUGAGUGUAAUUCAACUGUCCCUUGCACCUAAAGUACUUUUUGAAGCGAGUAGAAGUACCAAAGCAAACGGCCAAUGAGUUAUGGGAAAAGCUGGAAGGGCUUUACCAGGACCAGUCAGUGACAACAAGAAUGUCGUUGAAACGGCAUCUUCAUACACUUAAGAUGGAUUUAGGUUGUUUGUUGCAAGACCAUCUAGAUGCGUUCAAUAAACUUGUGAUGGACUUACAAACUGCUGGAAUUAAAAAGGACGAGGAGACGAUUACAUGUUCUUUGCUAUUUCCAUUGACUUCAAAAUAUCGUGAUAUUGAGAAUUCAAUAAUGUAUAGCAAACAACCUAUCAAACUUGAGCAAGUGCCACAAGCAUUAAACUCUUGCAAUGUGCGGAUGGAUUUUGAGCAAAAGUGACGAAGCUAGUGGACUCUUUGUAAGAGGUCAUACUAGCCAACAGAGAAGGAAAAAAUCAAAGUACAAAUCAGAAUCUCGUGUGAACAAAAAGAACGGGGGAGUGUUGGGGCUGUUAAAAGAAGGGGCACUUUGAACGAGAUUGUCUUUUGUCGAAGUCCAAAGAAAAGACGAGUGCAUUAAUUGUUGAGUAAGUACAUGAUAAUGGUGAUGAUUAUGUAUUAACAACAUCAUGUAAUAGUGGAGUCUAUGACAACAAAUGGGUCUUACACUCUGGUUGUACUGUGCAAAUGACAUUCCGAAAAGAUUGAUUCAACAUCUAUUAAACAAGCAACGAAACUAUAUCAAUGGGAACUAAUGCAACUUGUAAAAUAGUUGGCAUUGGAUCAGUUCGUGUUCUCUGUGAUGAUGGGAUCAUGAGGACUAUUAUAGAAGUCUGUCAUGUUCUUGAUCUGAAGAAGAAUUUGAUCUCCCUGGGUACUUUGGAUAAACAAGGCUAUAAGUACAUGAGUAAAGGAGGAACUAUGAAAGUGACUAAAUGAUCUUUACUCAUGCUGAAAGCCAAGCUGGAAGAUGGACUUUACACACUUGCGGUAAGAAGAUCAACACACUUGAAUAUUGUGAGCACUGCGUCUUAGGGAAACAGAAAAAGGUCAGCUUCAGCUCCGGCUAACUUAAGACAGGAGGAGUGCUAGACUACAUCCAUUCAGAUUUAUGGGGUCUCUCUAAGCUUCCAUCGAAGGGAUGAAAGAGGUAUCUUCUCACAUUCAUUGAUGAUUUUUCACAAAAGGUUUCGAUGCGUUUCCUGAAGACAAAAGUUGAUGCUUUUGAAAUAUUUAAAGAGUGGAAGAUUUUGGUUGAAAAUCAAAUGGAGAGAAAAAUCAAGUAUCUUCACACAGACAAUAGCUUGGAGUUUUGUAGUGAAGAUUUCAAUGAUUUAUGCAAGGUUCAUGGGAUCACAAGACAUAAGACGGUCAGGCACACACCACAACAGAAUGGAGUUGCCGAAAUAAUGAAUAAAAUUCUUCUCGAGAAGGCUUGUGUAUGCUCUUACAAGCCAAGAUGUCUUAAGUAUUUUGGGUUGAAGCAGUUCAUACCGCUUCUCAUAUUUUCAAUUGAUCUCCAGUAUCAACAAUUGACUUUAAGACUCUGAAUGAGGUCUGGUCAGGUGAACCCUCUAACUAUUCAUACUUGCGAAUAUUUGGGUGUCCAGCUUAUUAUCAUAUUAAUGAAGGAAAGCUUGAACCAAGGGCUAAAAAGGUCAUAUUCGUAGGGUAUAUAGAUGGAGUAAAAUGGUACAAACUUUGGUGUUUGUCUUUACUCAAAUUUGUAGUUUUUAGAGAUAUUACCUUUGAUGAAUCCUAUAUACUUGAUCCUCGUAAAAUUUCUGUGGAGUUAUCAAGAAAUGAAAACAACAAGCAGGUGGAGCUACCGAUGGAUCUUACCAAGGAACGAGAUCAAGAGACUCAAAUUGAUGAGUCAAAAGAUGCAGAUCUUGAAGAACUUGGUGUCAAUGAACCAUACACAAUUGCAAAGGGAAGGGACAAAAGGCAGAUACAAAAAUUGGAACGUCUUAUAGAGAAAGAAAAUCUAAUUGUACAUGCGUUCGUAGCUGCAGAAGUAGAGGUUAAGGAUCUCGACCCCUCUUUGUAUGUUAAGGCAACUUUUUGAGAUGUUGCACAAUGACAGUUAGCCAUGAUGGAAGAGAUGUAGUCUCUUCAAAAAAAUGAGAUAUGGGUCUUAGUUAAAAGGCCAAAGGGGGAUGAGGACAGUUAGAUGCAAAUGGGUCUACAAAAAAAAGAGGGUAUUCCAGAAGUGAAAGAUGUUAGGUUCAAGGUGAGAUUGACUACAAUGAGAUCUUCUUUCCAAUCGUGAAACAUAGCUCAAUUCGCGUGCUACUAACAUUGGUCGCACAAUUUGAUUUAGAGUUUCAACAGUUUGAUGUCAAAAGUGCUUUCUUACAUGGUGAUCUAGAAGAGACAAUCUAUAUGGAUCAGCCUUAAGGUUUCCUAGCUGAAGGAAAAGAAGACAAUGUAUGUCAACUGAACAAGUAUUUGUGUAGUUUAAAGCAAUCCCCUAAACAGUGGUACAAGAAAUUUGAUGCAUUCAUGACUACACAUGAAUUUUUGUUGAGUGCAUUUUAUAGCUAUGUGUAUCACAAGAAGAUGCUUGGUAAUUCUAUGAUAUAUCUAUUGUUGUAUGUUAAUGAUAUGGUUAUUGCUGCUAAAAACAUCACAGAGAUAAAUAUUUUAAAGAAACUGUUGAGCAAGAAAUUUGACAUGAAGGAUUUGAGAAUUUGAAAGAAAAUUCUUGGAAUGGAGAUUUCAAGAGAAAAUGGUGUUGUACAUAUUUUCAAAAGAGGUACAUCGAAAAAGUUUUUGAGAGAUUCAAUAUGCAUAUGAGCAAGCCAAUAAGUACAUCAUUAGCUCCUCAAUUCAAGCUCUCAGAGUUACAAAUGCCUCAGUCUAUGGAUGAGGUGGAACAUAUGUCAAAGGUUCCUUAUGCGAACACAGUUGGUAGCAUUAUGUAUGCUAUGGUGUGUGCACGUCCAAAUGUUGCUCAAUAUUUAAGUGUAAAAAGCAAGUAGAUGGCAAAUCCAGGAAAAAGCCACUGGAAAGCUCUCAAGUUUAUAUUGAGAUAUCUCAAAGGAGCUCCUGAUGUUGGCCUAACCUUCCAUAAAAGUGAAGGUAUUUCAAUUCUUGAUUAUGUAGAUUUUGACUAUGCAAGGGAUCUUGAUCAAAGAAGGUUCACAACUGGAUACAUUUUACUCUCUCUGGCAGUGUCGUUAGUUGGAAAUCAACUUUACAGUCUAUUAUCGUUUUGUCUUCAACAGAGGCAGAAUAUAUGGCAGCAACAGAGGCAGUGAAAGAAUCUAUCUAGUUGAAAGGUUUGGUGGCUGAAUUGAGUUCGGUUCAUCCUGGAUCAAUUCUAAAAUGUGAUAGUAAAAGUGUUAUUUAUUUGAUUAAAAAUUAAAGAUUUCAUGAGCGCACCAAACACAUUGAUGUCAGAUUUCAUUUUAUCCGAGAUGUCGUAGAAGAGGGAGCUAUCAAGGUUGAGAAGGUUAUCACAGACGAUAACGAUGCAGACAUGUUGACCAAAAUAGUCCCGCUUGACAAGUUUGCACACUGCAAGGACUUGGCGGGAGUAUGCAUCAAGUGAUGCAACUCUGGCGGAACAACUGCUAGGUGGAGCUAGUAUGUUUAACAAAGGUUUGAUUCUUCUUGUUUCUUACAACGGGAUUGCCCUGUAAGCUUAGAAUUUUUGGCCGGAGUUGUUUAUACGCAUGCUCGAAACACAAACCUAGGUGGAGAUUGAAAGAGAUGGUUUGGUUCUUGUGGAAUCAAACUAAAUGGAAGAUUAAUUAACAUGAAUAUUUGGUAGGAAGGUAAUUAGUACAAAAUAAAAGUCAAGAUAGUAUUUUGGUAGGUAAAGUUUAGGCAAACCAUAAAAUUAUUUCAUAUUCUUAACCUUAACAUUUUUGACAUAUAGUGAUGUAAUGGAUGACAUCAAUAGGAUGAAUUCAUUCCUAUAAAUAGGUAGAUCUUAAUUCACUUUCAAAAUCAUCCUCUCACUUGACUUCUCACCUUCCAAGGCAUUUGUGUUCUCUCUCUUGUAGUAUUUCACUUGAUUCGUUGUAGAGUGAAAUAAAUAUUGGUGCAAUUGUUCUUUGAUGGAGGUAGGAUCAUUUUUAUCCGAACCACGUUAAAUAUUGUUGUUCUUCCUUAUUCUUUAAUUUCACGUUUUUGCGCUAACACUAGCUAAUGCUUUCAAGAAAAUCUAUUUCAUGGUUCAAGAACGAACUUUUGGAUUUGUACUUCAAGUAUCUAGAGCGAUUAUACUAUAUAAGGUUGUUCUCUACUCUUUACGUAUCUAAUUACUUCUUGUUCAUUUUAAAAUUGAUACACCUAUUAAGAAUAUAAUGAUUUGUUGAGUUUUAGCAAAAUGUCAAUGGAAAAAGAGAAGAGAAAAAUGAAAAAGUGAUUGACUAAUAACUUUUUUGGACAAAAUUUAUUUAUUAAAUUUUGUUAAUUGAAUAAAUCCCAUUAAUUAUUUUCUCUUAUAAAUUAAUUCAGAAUGUUAGUUAAAUAACAGAAUAAUUUUAAUACGAAGAAAUUUAUUUUAAAUUCGCGUGCAAUGGUAGUACCGGUCUGAAGGGACCUGUUCUUUUUCGAUAAUUCGUUAUUUUUUCCAAAAGACAACUUUCUGGAAAAAACAGGUCUGAACAAAUUCAUUUGAACAUACACGAUUCUUGUUGAAAAUGGCUAUAAAAAGGAGAUCUUUUUCAUUUUUUCAGAUACUGAAAAUUUUUUCAUCUCUGCAUACAUUUACUCUCAAAAAAAUUGUCGAUUGACUGAGUCUGUGUGUUCUUUUUACUGUUCUUGCGUUCGCUAAAAUUAUUAAAGUUUGAGGUACCGCUACUUCUCUAACAGGUUAAUUCGUUUUAUCUUGGGAGAAAUUAAUCUGCAACCUCGGAUAAAGUGGGGGAAUUAAAUUCCUUAAGAAAAUACAGUGAUUUCUGUGGACUUGGAUUAAAAGUUUACUUUCUAUUUCAUCUUAUUUGUGUUUCUGUAUUUUUGACUAACCUUAAUACAAGAAUAACAAUCUUGAGAAAUUUAAUAGUUUCUAUAUUUGAGGUUUCUAGAGAUUAAAACCUUUAUGGUUUUAUACUCUGUUUGAAUUUUUAAAAUUCAUUUGAUUAACGAUUAAAAGAAUAUUAAAACUGUAUCACUUAAAUUAAAAACAGUCUGAGUAAGGAUUUAUUCUUUACUAUUAGUAUUUCACAUACUAAAAUUGUCUACCAUUUUUGACAGAAAAAAUGACCAAUUCAAUUCAAGUAAAUGCUGAAAUAGUGAGUGUUGCAGCAAUAUCGAUUGGACACAAUCGUUCAACUGCUACACUAGCACCGCCUAAGGAACCUGCAAAGUUUUCUAGAAUCGACUUCAAGAGAUGGCGAAAGAAGAUGUCCUUCAAUCUCACUAGGUUGAGGCGACUUCGACAAGCAUCACUAAAUUCUUUUGGGAUGGUUUUGAUUAUGGAGUAUGUUGGAGUGACUCAAAAAAAUUAUUAUUAGAGUUUGAAAAUAAAUUUUCAUGUAUCUUUUUAUUUGAUUUUUUUAUUUAGUUCUUGAAAUGAAAAGUUUCUGAUUAUCAUGUAGUUUGCAAUAAGUUUUGAAUGUGUGGAAAGUAGAUUAAUCAUAAAUAAAAUCUAAAGAAAUAAGAAAGUUAUUGAAACUAACAACUUGAUUCUUUUCUAAGGAUUUCUCCAUGGUUUGAGGGCGGUUGGUAAUGUAUUUAUGAACAUAAGCGAUCACAUUUCGAUUUCUUUAUGAAUAUCUCAUAAAUUUAUGAAAUUUUAGAAAUUUUAAUCUUUAUGAAUAUGACUUUUGGAGAUUUUUAUCUUUAUAAAUAUUCAAAUAAUAGUAUUUUAUGUCUUCGUGAUCUCAUUGUGAUUAUCCAAGAAUUUAUAGGAUAUUUAGGACGCCUCUUCAAGGAAUAAAUUACCCUUUAUAUAGGCAAAAAAUUACCCUUUGAUAGGCAAGACAAUAUUUUGAUGUUUUCUUAAUCUUUUUAUGAAUAUCCAAAAUUUUAUAAGAUAUUCGGAAUGCCUCUUUAAGAGAUAUAUUCCCUUUUAUAACGGCAUGAGCUAGAGUUUACAGUAACCUACAAGAACCUUAACAGAAAUAGUACUCGUCUUGUGGAGUCCUAUGCCAAGUAAUUAAAGAACACGUCUAAGGAAUAAGGAUCCAAUUUCGGUGGUUCUCGUUUAGAAUAUCAUUAAUUAAUUAAAGUGUGUUAUAUCUAAUAACUUAAUUUUUAAAAUGAGAUGAUCACACAUUUCAACAUGAUAUUAGAGCAGAUAAAAAUCACUCUUAUACCUCCAAAAAUUAAGGCAAGUUUGUCCCAUAUAUUUCUAAGAAUUUUAAUUAAUUGUGAAUAAUUAAUUACACACUACAAUCCUAGUUAAUGCUUUUAAGAAAAUAUAUCCCAUGGUUCAAGAAAGAACUUAAUUUUAGAGUUGUACUUCAAGUAUCUAGAGCGAUUAUAAUAUAUAGCUAGUGUUUGAUUACAUAUUUUAAAAUAUUCUUGAUAAAUAUUAUUUGGUUAAAAAUUUAAGUAAAAUUUUAUCAUGUGUUUGAUCAUAGAAUUUGAGAAAUAUAUUUCACUUUUUUAAAAAAAUAUGAUUUAUCUCCAUAAGUUGUAAAAAAAAUAUCAAAACUAACCAUAAGUUUGUAUUACAAGUCAAUUAGAUCUUCGUUGCAACACAUGACUAGUAGUGUCCAUGACACUAGAACAAUGUGGUAGUUUGAACUGAGUGCAACAACAUCAUUUUAUACAUCGUGAAGUAGAUAAAGCACAAGACUUUGUUACCCUGAAUCCAUUCUUCAUAAUUUUUAUCAACAAUCAUAUCAUCACUUUCAUAUUCACUGAAUAUCUCAUCACUACUUUGGUGUUCACGUAAAAAAUUAUAUAAUACAACACAAGCAACUAUAGAGAGUGUUUUUGUAAAAGACAAAAGUUUGGUGUAAAAUUUCAAUUUUCAAAAGAUCCAAAACAAUGAGAUUUGAUCCAGAUACUAGGAAAAACUAGCAUUUGGAAAUGUGGAAUAUUUGUCAAAUAAUAGCAAAUUAUAUGGGCAAACACUAUUUAUCAAUUUUUUUUUCCAAAUAUUAUUUGAAAAAUUUAUGGCCAAAUGUGCCGAUAAGUUAGUUAUCUACUCCUUCUAUACCUAAUUACUUGUCCAUUUUUAAAUUGACACACCUAUUAAGAAAACAAUUAUUGACAUAGUGAAUUUACCAUUUUACCCUAUUAUUUAUGAAGCAAAUGAAUUAAAAAUUUAAGAUUUUCAAGAAGUUCUACUUUUUCAAAAUAAUGAAUUGAAGGUAUAAUAGGUAAAAAAAAAAAUUGUACUUUCUAGAUUUUUUAAAAUAGACAAGUAAUUAAGGAUAACUAAAAAAGAAAAAUGGACAAGUAAUUAGUGACAUACCCGUAGGGGUGUACAUGAUCGGGUUGGUUCGAAUUUUUCAAAUAUCAAAUCAAACCAUUCGUAUAAAAUUUUUAAAUUUAUAAACUAAAGUAAUAAAAUUUGGAUUAUUCAACCUCGGAUUGGUUCGAGUUUUUCAAAUAUCAAACCAAUUAUUGCGUCAAUUUUUGAAUUUAUAAAUCAAACCAAACUAAUAAACUUCGAUUUUUUCCAGAUUUUAGGAUUUUCGAUAAAAUUUACAUACAAACAUAUAAUUAACUUGUGCUUCAAAUGUUUCAUUAGUCCAACCAAAAUACAAUUAUCUAAGGUGUUUCUUAAAAAAUUAACACAAAAUAUGAGAUGAAUAUUGAUGACACAAAAAUAUUCAAUAAAAAAUAAUAAUUAAAUCAUCAUAUAGAAUCAAUAUUGUAAAGUCAUGAUAAAAAUAAUCAUAAUUUAAAAGUACUAAAUCAUGCUAAAAUAUGUUCAAUAAGUAUUAGUUACAUUACUAAAUAUUUAAGGAAAAUUAAAAUUAGAUUAUGUAUUUUAAUUGUCUAAACCGAUGUAAAAUUAAAGAAAAAAUAUUCAAUAUUAUUGUCAUUCUUAGUGUUGAAUUGAUUUUAUUUGUGCAUUAGUAUUGAUUUGAUUUUGAUUUAAGUUUUGUUAUAAUUAUCAACAUUUAUGAACAAUAAUCUUUGUUGGACCAUUCCGAAUUCUAAGUUUUAAACUUGAAAUAAUAUAUUAAAAGAUAAAAACUAUGAAAUAGUAUAAGAAAUAUUUUAAAAUGAUAUCAAAGUAAUAUUUUUAUAUAUAAAAUAAAAUUUUAAAAUUACAUAUCUAAUGUCGGGUUGGUUUGGUCUCGGGCUGAAUUAUUUUAGUUAAAUCAAAUCAACCCAAAUAUAGUCAGUUUUUUUUAAAUAUCAAACCAAGUCAAACCAAAUCACUAGUCAGAUUUUUUCCCCAAUUUAAUUCUACUUGUAUAAUUUGGUUCGAUUUUCGAUUUAAUUUUAUACACCCUAGAUAUUGAAAGCAUGUUUGAGUUUUCCUCCGUGAAUGGUUGGAGCUAAUUAUGAUGAAAAUUCUUGUUUUUAUUGUUUUCUUAUUAACUUCAAGAAUUCUCAAUGAUGUUAUUAAUUCUCUGUGGUAUAUCCACCUCCAUGAAUUUUAUUAAGAAAAUUGAUAUGAAUUUGUAUUAUUCUUGAAAAUGGAGACAAGAGAAUCAUAUUUUUUACUCAAUGGUAUGCGUAAUCCUUCGAAAUCGCAUGUGACAAUUAUUUAAUUUCUACGUAAUCUAAAUCCCAAACAAAUUUAUCAUUGAGUUUUCAAAUUCUUGAGGUUCUUAAUGGUUUAGCUCGAAAUCGAACAUCUUGCCCAGCCUCUGAACUAUCCGUAUUCAGUAGGGACAAUAAUGGAGCGAUGUGGGUCGAGGCGGGUUUAGUUUAACCCACAAAAUAAUUACUUCACUCUGCCUUAUCCCGCCCUGCCUCGCAUAACAAUAUUUUUAUUUUUAACCCGUCCACAUGAACUCGCCCCGUAAUUUUCUUAAGAUUUUAUUUUUUUGUUUAAAUUUGAUAUUAAAAAUAAAAUUUAUAAAAAUACAUUCACUUUCAUUAAAAUAUAUUAAUUUUAUAGAUAAUGACUUAGAUAUUUAUUUUUUAAAGGUCAAUUGGGUGUGAGAAAUUGUAUUAUUUUUUAUUGAACCAUUUUCAUUUAUUAUCUUAAAUAUUUUAGUAGCUUCAAAGAAAUCAUCUUAAUAAAUAAUGUUCUACCUCUCUUAUAACACGUAAAAAAAUUAAAGUUAAAUUUAACUCCAUAUAAAAUCACAUAUACCGGCAAUCCGCUCCACCCUAUAUUAAUUUUUUUUAAAAAACACACUUCAAUAUAUCUCUCCCGUCCCGCACAACCUUAAACUCGCUUGCAUAAUCUUAAACUCACCCCGCCCUAUUAUUAUACCCAGCGUUCACAACAUAAUAGUUAUUGAUGUAAUUACAAUUAUAUAACAAAAAUAAAUGAUGCUAUAACUCUCCUUCACACCCCAUUUCUUUUCUCAUUAUUUGGAUAAAUUAGUCAUCUAUAAUAUCUUUGAAUUUUUAGGUUACCGGCUACACUAUUCAUUACAACACUAACAUAUUAGUUAAAUCCUAGCUAGAUUUGGGAGAUAUGAUGUGGCAGGCUUUUAAAAUCAAGAAUGAUAUUUGAUUUUUUGAAAAAAAAAAUUUGAUAUAAAUUUAUUGUUUUAUGUGGAUGAUCCAUUAGAGUUAUCCAACAAUUAAUUGGAUUUAUGUAUAAGUGUUUUCAAGGUGAUAAGCUUCUCAGGCCAUAAGAAGCUUAAGAGAUAACUAUGUAUCUAUUAAUGAGGUGACCUUUGGGAGUGAUAUCUCAACACUAUAAAUAGAGAUAUGACUCACCAUUUGAUAAAAUACUUGAAUAAGAAGAAAAAUUUUCUCUUCCAUCUUACUUCUCUUGUCUUCUUCUCUUUCUAUUAUAUUAUGAGUUUGUGAUAAGUUUGAAUCAGCCCAAUUGCUCCAUUCCCUAAAUCGAAUGUGAUAGCAGUAUGUGAUAAGUUUGAAUCAGCCCAAUUUCUCCAUUCUAUCAUAUGGAUGUGGUAGCAGUGAAUAAUAAGUUUGAAAGACAACAUGUGAUUAAAUGUAUGAAUAGGGGCGUGAAGGGACAAAUCAUAAUAGUCAUCAUUGUGGUAAUUAUAAAAAGAAAGAAUAAUAUGAGUUCUUCAAAUAGUCCUUCAAACUAUGAAAAUUAAUUUUAUCACCAAAACGGUAUGAAAGGUCAUUGGAUACGCGGUUAUCAUGCGACCUUAUUUUUAUAAGUUUUAUAAAUCCUCCAUCAAAAUAAAAGAAUAUAAAGUGAUAGUGCAUUUUAUCUUUCAAAGUGAUUUUGAGGUUAAUCAUGUAAAUAUGUCAAAUAUAAAGGUAUGACAUGUAUAAAUUGUUAUAUUCAACUCAUGAAGAGAUUGUGACUUUAAUAAGCAUGUGAAUGUUUGUCUAUUCUUGAAAGUGAAUAUGGAAAAAUAUGAAGGAAAAAUAUGACUAAGAAUAUAUUCAUGUAUGGUUGGAUAUAUAUCAGACUCACAUCUACGGGAGGUUUGGGAGAAAUAAAUAAGUUUUAUUUGACACGAACGGUCAAUGGUCGUGUGCGUUUAUACGUCGUAAAUAUUAUGGUAUAUUUUUUAUGAACUAUUGAAAAGGAAAAAAGAAAGAAGUAAUUCUUGCCUAUAAAAAUUGUGGUCAUGAUCAAAUAUACUGUGGCAAUACAAAUUUGUCAUUGGUUGUGUGCCUAUGGUAAAACAAAAGUAAAACUAGAAACAUGUUUUGCUCGUAAUAAUUUUAACCAUGAGAAUAAUGAUAUAAUUUCCUUGAGGGGAUGUUCACUAUAUGGAUGGUGUUAUGGAAUAUGUGAUAGUACACAAAAUUAAUUGCAAGCUCUAACGAGUUGUUUUAUUGUCAGAGGAAUAAUAUUGAGGUUGUAGUAAGUUUCAAAAGAAACUUUUUAAGUUUUAGAUGAAUUGAAAAGAAAUACUGAGACUGUAAAUUAUGAAAAGAUUUAUUAUCUUUAGAUUACUACAACCGAAGCGGGUUAUAAAUAUUAUGUAAUAGGUUACCCAUUGUUCCUCUUGUUUGUUGUAUACAAACAUGGACAUGCUGAUGAAUUCACAUGCAAAAGUAAAUAAGUGUACUGAAAUAAAGAUCAGUUGGAAUGACCGGUUGACCAUUCUGGUUUAAAUGUGAUGCAAAUGUAAUUGAGAAUUCAUGUGGAUUAUAUGAUGAAGAAAUAAAAGAUUCCUCAAGAAUUCUCUUGUGUUGCUUGUUUUCAUUGUACCAGCUAAGGUUCAGAUUAUAAUCCCUAAAUCUUUGGAACAUAUAAAAAGGUGAUGAGCCUGUCUCCUUCAAUGUAGAUCAUUUGCAACCAUAUGAUCGAUGCAUCUAUGUGAUGGUCACAUGUGCUUUGUUGUACAUGUGCUUUGUUGUCAACUUACAAAUUGGUGUUUGUAAUGUUGUUUGCUCUAAUUGUUAAAUUAAGAGCACAGUUCCAAAUUAUGAAAUUAUAUUGGUAAUGCUGGUUGAUUAAGCAGAAAUUGUAUGCCUUCAAUUAUAGAUAAAUCAUGGUUAUGAGAAUAAAACUCCCCAAUAAAAUUUGGUAUGAGAUAAUUUUAUUUAACAUGUAGCAACACAUAUAUGCAUCAAGCCAACAAGGUUUUCCCAUUAAAAUUGGUUCAGGUCAGAGACCAAAUAAUUUUCAUAUAAAAUAUUACAUGUGCGGUUAUGAUUUUAAUUGUUUCACCAUGCACAAGGAUGAAUUCUCAAAUAAGGUUGGGAUGAAUAUUAGAUUUCCUAACAUUAAGUGGAGAGAUGAUUGACAGCUGAAAAUUAUUUAUGAGGUUAAUUAUGAAUUAUCUGGAUCUUCAUUAAAUAAAUAUGUGAACUUAAAGUUCAAAUGAUAAUUCAUUUGCAUAGCAAAUCAAUUGUCAGAUGAAUGUAGUCACCCUAUGAUAUAAUUCAGCUGCAAAUGCUCCAAUGUGAAGUCCUUGAAGGACGGAGUCUAUGAUACGCCGAAAGCGUAAUAGACCAAUCGAUUCCAAAUAUAAAAUUUCUUGAAGAAAGAGAGGAGCAAAUGAUCAAUAUGAUCAUGAUAAUUAGGCAAGUGCUCUAAGAGAGCACCACGACAUAACACUUCAUAAAACUUUGGAAAAGAUUCAGGUACCUGAAAAAUGAUUAAAAAAUGAAGAGAUAUCGAUAAUUUAUGUUAUAUUGAAAUCAAUAUCAAUUAACACCAUCGAAGAUAUUUUUGAUAUGAGGUAGCGCUCAAUGAUAUAAAUUGUAACGAGGAUCUUGAAUUCAAAUCUGUCAUAAAGUGUAGACAAAUAAAUGGUUGGCCAAGUAAAAUGCAUAAUUCAAGUAUAUUGUUUUACUAAGAAAAGUGAGUUUUGGACUGAUAGUCCAUAAAUUAAGGUAUAAUAUCAAUGGGGUACAAUAAAUUAUUAUGUCAUGGUAUAAUUGUAAUAUCAAGUAGAACUUGUGCCUUGGGGCAUAAAAGUUUGUCGCGAAAUUCCUGACAUUAUUGGAGAUGUUUUCUCCAAUGGUGUAUGCAAUGAGGUUUGUUUUGAUCUGGCAAUAUAUGAAACACGUGAAUGCAAAUAAUGAAUAAUUAUCAUGCCUAGCUAGACAAUAAUGAAGGUUAUAUAAAGAUUCUUGAAGUAAUCGAGGUGUUUGAAGCAUAUAAAAGUUUAAAGGAAACUUUUUCUAUAAAACUUCAAGAAUCCUUAUAUGGAUUGAAAUAAUCAAGGAAGAAAAGAGUACAAAAAGAAUGACCAUAAUUGUCCUUGAAUUUUAUGAAAAGUUCAGGAUCUGAAUUUGUUAUAAAUUAUGUAUGUAGAUGAAUUGAAAUUACUAACACUCUUAAGGAGCUUUUAAAAGCUAUUGAGUAUUUUGAGAAGGGAAUAUAAAAUGUAAAGAUUCUGGAAAGACAAAAUUUUAUCUUGACCUAAGAUUGAAACUUUGACGAAUGAAAUAUUUGUCCAUCAAUCAAAUACAUAGAAAAGCUUUGAUGCAACUUUAUAUGAUAAAUCACAUUCAUUACCCCAAUGAUUAUGAGAUCGAUUGAAAUAAAUGAUGAUUCAUUUUUUAUCUUAAGAGAAGAAUGAAGAGCUUCUUGGUGAUGAAACUCCAUAUCUUAGUGCAAUCAUGAUACUAAAGCAUCUUGCUAACAAUACUCGACCAGAUAUCUGUUUGGCAGUAAAUUUACAGGCAAAACUCGGUUCCUUCCCAACAAAAGGACAUUGAAAUGGUGUAUGUAUGUACUUGAAUAUCUUUCCGAAGAAUUCAAGUCAAAGCUGAUUGGUUACGCAAAUGCAGAAUAUUUAUCUGAUCCGCAUAAAGCAUGAUCUCAAGCACUCUAUUUGUUUGCAUAUGGAGGCACAUUAAAAAAUAUCCUUGCGAUCAAUGAAGCAAAUGUUGCUAUGCAGAAAUAAAAUCCCUCCAUGAAGCAAGUCGAAAGUGCGUCUGGUUGAGAUAAAUGACACCAUAUUCAGGAAAUGUGUGGUUUUUCCUUGAAAAAGAAUAUAUCAACCACAAUGUACGAAGAUUGGAGACAUCAUCACAAGAAAUUAAGUGAUGUUUUAAUCAAGGAGAAUAUAAUACGCGUUGCACUGUUUUUUCCUUGACCGAGGUUUUGUCGCACUGAAUUUUACUGGCAAGGUUUUAAUGAGGCAACAAAUAAUGCAUAUCAAAAGAUAUGUGUACUCUUUUCCUUCAUUAGAAUUUUUUUUCCACUAGGUUUUUUUCUAGUAAGGUUUUAACGAGGCACAUUAUCUAUAGACAUCCAAGGGAGAGUGUUAUAAAUCUAUUGUUUUAUUUGGAUGAUACAUAAGAGUUAUCCAACAAUUAAUUGGAUCAUGUAUAAGUGUUUCCAAGGUGAUAAAAACCUUAAGAGAUAACUAUGUAUCUAUUAAUGUGGUGACCUUUGAGAGUGAUAUCUCAACACUAUAAGUAGAUAUAUCACUCACCAUUUGAUAAUAUACUUGAAUAAGAAGAAAAGUUCUCUCUUCCAUCUUACUUCUCCUAUCUUCUUCUCUUUCUAUUAUAUUAUGAGCUUGAUUUUAUAACAUUUUUGACAUUUCUCUUAAUCAUUUUUAUUUAUAUGAUACGAUAAAAAGCCUAUAAAAUGUUUCUUAAUUAUUAUAUCUUUUUUUCGAUAUACAAAGCUUAAAAGAUAUUUUACUAAUUAGUAAUUUAAUCAUAUUUAUUAUGCAAUAUAAUAAUAUAAUUCUAUACAGCUAAUAUAUAGCCUAGAGACAUUAGGACUAAUUUUGGCGAACAUUUUUCUUCUUCUGACUUUUUAAUCCUUACAUGUACCUUUCCCCUAUAUAAGUCAUUGACAGAUUAUUUUAAUUUUUUUUAAAAAAAAUUCAGUUAAUCAAUCGUUAUAUUUAAGACUCAUAAAUAGUGAUUUAAAUUUGCAGGUUCUCAUCCUAAUAAAGUUUUGGAGUGGGUAUAUGGUGUUUUGAUUCGAUUUUUAAAUUUCAAUUUGAAUUUUUUUUUCAUAGUGUGUAUCAAAUAUAAUAUCAAAUUAAUUUGAUUUGUUCGAUUUGAUUGAGUUCAAUUUUUGUAAUUCAGCCUAAGUGUCAAACAAUUAAUAUCAGUAACAACAUCAUAAAAGUUAAAUUGUACUUAAUAGAUUGUAUGAUAGAGCAUAUUUAAGAAAAAUGCAUGUAUAUUAGCAAAAAAGUUAAAGAAGUAAUUUGAUCUUAAAUCAUUAUGCAAUAAAAUAACAUAAAAUCUGUAUUAUCUAAAUAUAGCUUAAGACAUUAGGAGUUUAAGACGUCUCUUCGGCCAACAUUUGUUCCUUCAUCUGUUUUUUUCUUAAAAAAUAAAAUACAUUCAGUAUACUUAAGACUCAUAACUGAAGAUUUAGAUUUGCAGUUCUUUCAUCCUAAUGAAGUGAAUGUAGCCAUUUAUUUUAUACUCUGUAUUUCCAAUAAUAGUUAUUCAUUAUUGAUUUGACACAUAUUUUAAAAAUAUUUAAUAAAUAAUAUGACUAAGUUAUCCUUUAAAUACAUUAAAUUUAGUACUUUGAAAAAUAUAUUUAAUAUUAAAGUACAAUAUUUAAUAUAAAAAUAAUUAUCUCUUGAAUUUUUAAAUUUAUGAAUAAUUGAAGAAGAAAUGAUUAUGCAUUGUAGUACUUUUUAUAUGACGUACUAUGUUAUAUUGCUUAGAACGAAAGAUUGAAGAAGUUUACUUUUUAAUUAUAAAUUAUCCAUAUAUUAUUUAAUUAUUUUGACUUGUUAAUUAUUAUGCAUUGUAGUACUUUUUAUAUAGUUUACAAGUAUAUAUAAAUUUAAUUUUUAAAAAGAAUUAAAGAUUUCAUGCACAAAUUUUCAAUCAAAACGCAUAUUAGUUGACUCUCGAAAACAAAAUGUAUCACAUAAAUUUGAUACUCAAAAAAUAGUUUGUUUGUAAUGUUUAGUUUAAUAUGUUAUGAUUGAUCUUUCUCGUUGCUUUUUUUCAAUUGUAAAAUUCUAAAUUUUUAGUAAUAUAAUUUUUUAGAAGUGAGAGGAUUCAAUUUUUUUUUUUUUUAGAAGUGAGAGGAUUCAAUUUUUUCUUCUCUUUACGCAUCACAAUUCUUUUCCAAAGCAAUCAAAUUAGUCUAGAAAAAAUCUGUAAUGAAAAAUAGUAGCCAAAAUAAAUAAAAAUCAAAAGCACGUACGAGUUUAUUUUUUUUUACUAAAGUCAAGUACGAAAAGUUUUAAAUAUAUUUAAGAAAGAUAUUAUGUACAACUAAAAUUGUUGGAUUAAAAAAGUAUUUUAUGAAGUAAUAAUAAAAGUAAUUAAUUAUCUUAAUUAUAGUUAAAACUUAUCUUUAUUUUUUAAAUUUCAAUAAUUAAUUCAACUAUGACAUCUCUCUCAUCCAAAAUACUAAAUUGAAAAAACGAUAAUGCUAAAUGGGCAGUAUUUGGGCAGAAAAUUAAAAAUCUAUGAUAUUUUUUUUAAUUUUAAAAUAAAGGGAAAAGAAUCUGAUAUACCCCUCAAUUUUGUCAUUUGGAGUUGAUAUACCCCUCAUUAUAAAAGUGGCUCAUAUAUGCCCUUAUCGUUAUACAAACGGCUCACAUAUACCCCUGCCGUUACAAAAUGGCUCACAUAUACCCUUCAUUUAACGGAUGUUAAAAAAUUAGUUUUAAAUUUAUAUUUAUUACUUCUAAUUUUUUUUAAAAAAUUAUUUAGGGGUAUAUAUGGUUCUUCUAUCAAAGUUCAAGGUAUAUUUUUUUUUUUUCACACAUAAAUUAUUUUUUGACUUCUUUUAUUAUAAUUAUUUGAAUUUCUUAUUCUUAUUUUGUUUUUCUUUCAUUCCUUAGUUUAAAGAAUAAAAAAUUAAACUAUUUUUUUUGUAUGUAUUGUAUUUUAAUUUCGUAUUCGAAGAAAAAAUAUGGUCAUCUAUAAUAAGUUUUACAAGAAUAUUAGUAAAACAUAAAUAAUUUGAUUAUCAAAAUAAUAAUUACAAAUUAGUCAUUGAAAUAAAAAAAAGUCAAAAAAUAUGUUUGACAAGGAUUAAAUUUACUCAUAUGGGAUUAUAUAUUUUAGAAAAAAAUAAUAAAAAUUUAGAUUAAAUUUUUUUUUUUUCAUUUCCGUUAGAGGAAAAGGGUAUAUGUGAGUCAUUUGUUUACAAGUAGGGGUAUAUAUGAGUCAUUUUCAUAACAAGGGGUAUAUCAGCUCUAAAUGACAAAGUUGAGGGGUAUAUCAGACCCUUUUCCCUAAAAUAAAUUAAUCUUUUUUUUAUUUAUAGUUAAAAUAUAUUAAAAUUAAAAUGGUAAAAAUAUUUAAAAUGUAAAAUAAUAUAUGUAAAAUGCUACUUUAGCCAAAUUGUGGCCAUAUAUUCUUGCCAAAAAAGGAUUUUUCCUCGUACUAUUAUUGGAUUAUAACAUCAAAUUAUUAAAACAAUUAGUAAAUGGAGUGUAACCGGAAUAUUGAAUAAGCACCCCGGGCAAUUAUAAUUAAGUAAUAAAUCUUUUUAGGAUGAGUGACAACACAAUUUUUUUCAAAUAUACAAAUUAUUACAAUUAAUAAGUGAAGAAAAUUCUUACUACUAAAGUAUAUGAUAAUGUUUUAGACUUCUUGACACUUUCUUUAUGACCUUCAUAAAUAAGAAAUUUAUUUAUUUAAAAAAUUUCUUAAGUUGAUAAAUUUGAAGAAAAAUGUUGAGGGUAGAAAAUCUAACAAUUUUUUACCUCAUCUAAUAUAUGGAUUGUCGUAAUAAUUGAAAAAUGAAAUAGUAUUUAGUUAAUAUAGCAUCAUUUUUUAUGUGAUUAUUUAUUUUAUUGCUUCUUUUAUAUUUUAACAAUUAUCAUGAACCAACAUUAUUGUUCUUAUAUUUACAUUUUUUACUCUCCUUUCGACGUCUUUUUUUCUUCUCAUUACAAAAUAUUUGAAAUUUCUCAAACGAAUAAACCUUCUAUAUUGUGCAAAAUAUAUUGUAAAAAGAUCAAAUUUAGUUUUGACAUCUUCUUCACAUUUCAAGCAUUAAAACCAAUUAACACUGUUUUAUUAUUAUUAUUAUAUUAAUUUAAAUUUUCUGAGUUUAAUUUUAUUAUUCUAACAUUAUUUUAUAUACUUUUCAUUGAAAAAUUGCAUUGUUUAUAUUCUUACUUCAUAAUGUACGUAUAUAACAUUCUUUGCAGACUUCAUUUAUGAAAUUACACUAUAGAAUAAUAAUUUGAUUUAUAUGUACUUCCUUCCUUUCAAAUUGAUUAAAUUGUUAAGGUGUUUCACACAUUUAAAAUAAAUUAAGUCACAUAUUAAGCAUAACUUUAAAUUUUUACAAAAAUAAGAGCUCUCUAUAAAGUUUGACUUUAAGUCUCCAAAUUUGUUAAUACAGACCUGAAAGAGUGUAGGAGCUAACAAAACAAAUAGUUAUAAAAGUAAUUUAUUCAAUUUAUAGAAUUAAAGCUAUAUGUGCAUACACCAAAAUUUUACAUCCUUUAUCAUAGCAAAAUUUAUAGAAAAUAAAAAUAAAUUUAGUAACUAAUGUUUUUUUUUUCAAACACUGUAAAACACGAAAAAAAUUGCUAAUGUGUAAGAAAACAUGUGUAAUAUAAAACAAAUAUAAAAGAGUCCACGUGCAUCGCAUGAGUACCUAUAUUAAUUUUAGCUUGAAAAUAAAAAUUAAUAUUUUUUUAUUUCAAACACUACCAAUUAUUAUAAAACUAUUUAACUUAAUUGGAUGCACCAACUUUGACAGGUGUUAAUUCACUUCAAUAUUCAACCAAAAAAAAAAGAAGGUUAAAACGCAAAGCAACUUAAUUCAUUUGUUAUAAAUUGGAGGAGCCAAAGAUAGUGAGAUUCACAAAACUUUAUAUCUCUAAGAAUGGAAAUUCAAAAGGUAUCAUAGUUUCUAAUAUUUUUUUUAAUUAUAUAUGUCUAUCUUAAGUUUCAUUCAUAUACUCAUGAUUAAUUUAUUGAUCAUUUUAAACAAUGAAACAUAUCUUAGAUUUAAUUUUAUUUAUUUAUUUUUAUAACAUAGGAGUUUGAUUUAACGAUAGUUCCAACAGAAGGUGAAAUUGAUGCACCAUCAUCGCCAAGGAAGAAUUUAUGUCUCAGUGUGAUGGAAUCUGAUAUUAAAAAUGAAACGUCUUUUCAAGAACUCGACAUGAUUUUGACUCAAUAUUUAGAGACAUUGUCCGAGCGAAAAAAGUAUCAUAUAGGUAAGGAUAUACAUAUGUAUAGUCUUUCCAUACAAACAUAGUUACUUUUUACUCAACGAAAUUAUACAAGCAUUAGUGAUCGAGGUAAUUUAAUCUCAAUUUUAUUUAAAUAAAUACAUUUUCAUUUAUUUUUACGUGUGUAAUAAACAUAAAAGUAUUUAUAAGAAAAAUUAAUCAAAAGUUAUUCAUUAAUAAAUCAUCCCUAACUUUAUUUUACAUAUCUUUUAAGUAUUUUUGAUUUGGCCAAAUAAUAUUUUACGAUUUUAUUCAUAAUUAUAUCUUUGGUUAUUUAAUUUACAGGUUAUCCAAUUAACAUGUGUUACGAACAUCAUGCCACUUUAGCCCCACUUUUGCAAUUUCAUUUGAACAAUUGUGGAGAUCCCUUUACUCAGCACCCUACAGAUUUCCAUUCAAAAGAUUUUGAAGUGGCUGUUUUAGAUUGGUUUGCACAACUCUGGGAAAUAGAGAAAGAUGAAUAUUGGGGAUACAUUACUAGUGGUGGCACUGAGGGCAAUCUCCAUGGCCUUUUGGUUGGGCAGGUAUCAUUUUCAAGAAAGGGGGUGGGGGGGAGAGGUGGUAGUUUUUGAAUCAUAUGAAAAAUCAAAAAAUUAAAUGGCGUAAUCAGCCAUUGUCAUGGUCAAAAUCAUUACGAGCAAGACGUCUUACUUUACUUUUGUUGUACCAUAGGUACACAAUCAAUGACAAAUUUGUAUUGCCACACAAUAAUGACCACAAUCCUUCUAUGCAAGAGCUAUUUCUUUCUUUUUCCCUUUCGGUAGUUCACAAUAAACAUACCAUAGUGACGUAUAAACAUACAGUACGAUUAGCCAUUUUUGCCAAAUAAAAUUUAUUUUCUCUCAAACCUCCCGUAGAGGUGAGUUUUGACAUAUAUUAUUUUUUCUCAAACCUCCUAUAGAGGUGAGUUGUGACAUAUAUUCAAUCCAUAAUGAUUUUAUCAUAUCUUGACCCAUUCUCUUAUAGAAUGGUCGAGCAUUCAUAAUACUCAUCACAAGUCACAUUCUCUUCAAGGAAUUCAUAAAUUUGUAUUAUAAGUACAUUGUCAUGGUUCUAAAAUUCAUUAUAUUUCCAUGACACACCUCAACAUCACUUUGAAAGAUCAAGUGUACCAUCACUUUAUCUUCUUGUCUCAUGAUAGAGGAUUUAUAAAGUUGUCAAAUUGGGUCGACAACAUUCAGAAGUCCAAUGACCUUUCAUACCAUUUUAUAAUAAAAAUUCUCUUCACAUUUUGAAGGACUAUUUGGAGAACCCAUAGUGUUCUUCCUUUUAUAAUUAUCACAAUGAUGACUAUUAUAAUUUCGUCCCUUCACGCCCUUAUUCAUAUCAUUAAUUAUUUGUCAUCUUUCAGACGAAUUAUUUGUUGCUACUACAUUCAUAUAAUUGAAUGGAGCAAGUCAACAGAUGGAUUUCAAAGUUAUCACAUGUUGCUUCCAUAUUCUUUUCAAGGAAUGGAGCAAAUUUAAUAUGAUGAAUUUCAAUACUUUUCAUCAAAAAUAUAUUAUUUUGCCUCAGUCAUCAUCUUAUCAUCAAUUUGGUGCAUGGAGACUCAAACUCAAUGUCUUAUCCAUACAAGGCACAUUAGGCCAUAAUUCUAUGGGACUUGAACCCAAUACCUUAUCAUUAUGGUGCAUCAAAACUCGAAUUGAUGUCUUACCCUCUUGGUGCGAUAGAACUUGAAUCUACCGUCUUACCCUCAAAUAUUUUUCAUAAUGAAUGACAUAAAUGAGUCUUUUUUAAACAAAUUUGAUAACAUAUUUGAGUUUUUUUCUUAUGGUUAAAUGAUGCAAGUGCUUCAUCACUUUCAUAAAGCAUUUGAACAAUAUUAUAUAUUUGUGCAGAAGAGAGCUACUUCCUAAUGGAUAUUAUAUGCAUCAAAAGAUUCACAUUACUCGAUUUUCAAAGCAGCAAGAAUGUAUCGAAUGGAGCUACAAACUAUCAACACUUUAGUUAAUGGGGAAAUUGAUUAUGAAGAUUUACAAUCAAAGUUACUUGUCAACAAGAACAAACCAGCUAUCAUCAAUAUCAAUAUUGGUAAAAAUACAUACAUAUAUAUUCUUACAUCUUAUAACAUCACUUUUGGUAAAUUAGUAUAUAUGUGUUUAUAGGAACAACCUUCAAAGGAGCUAUUGAUGACCUCGAUUUCGUCAUACAAACACUUGAAAAUUGUGGUUAUUCAAAUGACAAUUAUUAUAUCCAUUGCGAUGCAGCAUUAUGUGGGCUAAUUCUCCCAUUUAUCAAACAUGUAAGCUUAUUUUUAUUCAAUUUUCCUUCAACGCUCGAUCGAAGUUACAAUGACAUAGUUUCUUUCUAUGGUAUUUGACAAUAGGCAAAAAAAAUUACCUUCAAGAAACCAAUUGGAAGUAUUUCAAUUUCAGGGCACAAAUUCUUGGGAUGUCCAAUGUCUUGUGGCGUUCAGAUAACAAGGAGAAGUUACGUUAGCACCCUCUCAAAAAUUGAGUAUAUUAAUUCCGCAGAUGCUACAAUUUCUGGUAGUCGAAAUGGAUUUACACCAAUAUUCUUAUGGUACUGUUUAAGCAAGAAAGGACAUGCUAGAUUGCAACAAGAUUCCAUAACAUGCAUUGAAAAUGCUCGGUAUUUGAAAGAUCGACUUCUUGAAGCAGGAAUUAGUGUUAUGCUGAAUGAUUUUAGUAUUACUGUUGUUUUUGAACGACCUUGUGACCAUAAAUUCAUUCGUCGUUGGAACUUGUGUUGCUUAAGAGGCAUGGCACAUGUUGUAAUUAUGCCAGGUAUUACAAGAGAAACUAUAGAUAGUUUCUUCAAAGAUCUAAUGCAAGAGAGGAACUAUAAGUGGUACCAAGAUGUAAAAGCUCUGCCUCCUUGCCUAGCUGAUGAUUUUGGCUCUAAAAAUUGUAUGUGCUCCAAUAAAAAGAUGCAUAACUAAAUUAUAUCAAGAGUUUUCAAAUAAAUUUUCCAUAUAUAUUUUGUUUGCUAUGUUUUUAUGUAGGAGUGACUCUAUAAAAGUGGAAUAAUAAGUUGAUUUGACUUGAAUUUCAUUUGAUUUUGUAAAAUUCUGUAGAAGGAAUAAUAAGUUUUAUUAUUAUUCAUUGUAUUAUUUAAUAAUAUGUAUUAUUACAGUUUCUAAUAAACUAAUUAUUAUUGAUUGGUAAAAAAAUAAUUCAUAAAAUUACAAUUAAAUAUAUCUUUAUGUUUUUUUAAAAAUAGAUGGUUUAAUAAAGUUGAGUUUGAGAAUUUAAAGAAAUUGAAAAGCUAACAUCCUUAAUUAUAGGAGUUAAAAACAAGAAAAAAAAAUAAUCUCACAUCUCCUUAAUUAAUGUGGCUUGGUUGCACAUGAUUAAAAGAAAAAAAUAUAAAACUUAGUUUUAUUUCUUUUAUUAGGCUAAUACAUGCAAAAAAAAAAAAAAAAUUGACUAUUAAUUGUUAAUUAUUAUUGGGUUAUAUGUUGCCAAUUUUAUAUAAUAGUUGUAUAUAUGUUGUCAAUUCCUCAUUUUCCCAAAAAUAAGUUUUAGGACUUUAUUUUUACGGGCUUAAAUUACGGCCUGUAGAUGAAUUUAUGAUCCGUAAUUGGGUCUGUUAAAAUCUGAACAAAAAAUGAGUUUAUGAAGUUGGUUUUACGAGUUAAAACUACUAGUCGUACUUCAAUUUUCGACCCAUUAUAAAUUGAACUCGUAAAAAUAAGUCUCUAAAAAACUUUGUUGGGAUAGUCUUUGGUAAAACCCAGUCAUAUCAUUUCACUUCGAACUCUGAUUGAUGAAAACUUGGUGACGUUGAAAAGAAAACUCAUAGAUUUUUAAUUUGAUAGGUUACGAGACAUCUAAUUCAUUAUAUGUAGAGAAAUAUGGUGAUUUGAAUUUGACCUUGUAUGAACUAAUGCGAAAACUUAAAUGGUAGGAAAGUUUUGAACUCGACUUCGUACUAAAAGUUUCUAUGACCCUAAUUCACUUUCAAUACGCUUCCCACAUAUAGGAAUGAGCCUUAACACAUAAGCACAACUAGAACAUCACGCAGUUCAUGCUUCUAUAUUUAUCAAUGAAGAUUUGAAUUCUAAAAAUAAAAUUGCAAAUUGUUACAUAAUUUGCAGUUUUUCAUCCUACAUAAUUAAGUCAUUGAAGUUAUUUAUUUAUUUUGAAUAAAAUUAUGCAUAGUUAGGCACCGGAGAGGAGAUGUGCAUGACUGUAAAGUCAAGAAUAACAUUUUUCUUCUUUUUUGUAAAUUUUUUGAUAAUUUACUUAAUUAUAUUUAUUUAUAUGAUAAAACAUUAGAAAUAUAUCUUAUUACAUUUACUUAAAAAUUGAUCUCCUUUUUCAAUUCAGAGAACUCAAAAGUCAUUGCCAUUAAUUAGUAAUUUAAUGGUUAUUUAAUAGGUAAUAAAAUAAUAUAAAUCUAUACAUCUAUUUUUUUCACCCAAUCUAUAUAUAUAUAUAUAUAUAUAUAUACCUCUCUUUGGUCAAUAUUUUUUUUCCUUUGACUUAUUAAUCCUUAUUAGUGUAUUUAUCGUGCUUCGCGUGAAGAAGUAUUAAAUAUAUUUUUAGUAAUUAAUGACAUUAUUUGAUGGAUAUUCUAAUAAAUAAUAUAACAAAAUAGAAAUAGAAAUUAAAUUUACGAUUAUGAUAUUACCUAUUUUUAAAAAAUGCUAUAAAAGUCUCAUUCUAUAUUUUCGAGAAAUUGAUCAAAAUAGUCCUUAAUGUAUGAACUUAGAUUGAUUUGGUCCCUCAUAUAUGUAGCUUAUGGAAAAACGUCCUUUAUCUAUGUUAAAAAGUUAUCAAUUUUGUCUUUCACCCGAAAACUCUAACUACACAAAAAAAAUUCUGGCAAAUUAUACAGAAAUGUGCAACUCACAUGACAUACAAAGAUUUAAACAAAACCUCUGUUUUCUUGUCUCAAUUCCAAAAAAUGAAACCUCUGUUUUAUUUUUAUUGUUGGCUUUUUUUGGUUUGUGUAUUCAAGAAUAUUUAGAUGUUAUGGUGUAAAAAGUAUACAUGUUUUUUAACACCUAGAAUGUGGUCUUAAUCGGCUAAAAUAUGUAAUUUUUUAACUGUCGAUUCUGCGUUCAAUGAUAUCAUAAAGGAUUGAUAUAAUAUCAACCAGCCAAACAGUAUGUUAGUAGUAUCAUUAAUUAUUUUGAUUAUAUUGAAUUGAAGAAUCUCAAUCUUACUGACUCGAAAAAGAAUUGAAUAUUAUGUGGUUACAUGAAUGAUUCAAUAAUAUUUUGACAUAAAAAAAUUCAUCCUUAAAGAUAGAGUAGUAGAGUUAUAUUUUGAGCAUUUGGACUCUUAUAUUGGAAUAGACGAUACAAUUGAGUUUGGUUGCAUUCCAGGGAAUGAAAAUCGAUGUCGUUGGACCUGUUGACAAAGAGUUUGAAAGGGAAAACUUAUCCUCGGGAGAUGAUUUUGAGGAUUAUGAAAAUGAAUUCUCCAGUGACGAGCUGAUGGUUGAUAAAAAAAAAAGGACACUAUAAACAUAGUUUUGAGGAUGACAGAGAGCUUAUUACCGAUGAAAUUUAAAAAAAGAUGUUACAUGAAAAUGGAGAUCCUUAUUGUGUUAACUCUGAAGAAAAUAAGAGUUUGGAUGGUGAUUAUGACAAUGAAAGUUUUGAUUUUCCGAAGCACAAUGCAAAUGUUAUGCCUCGUAUUUUUUUAUACGUAGUGCGCAUCGUGAUCUAGAAGACGUAAAGAAAUAUUAGACAAGGAUGUUAUUUCCAAAUGUGAUAUUAAGUAUGAGUUGGCUAAUGUAAGUGCCAUUAACUUUAAGUGAGGGAUUAAUUAGUGGCUAAUUUGGAUUGAUUUAAUCCAAUGGGCCCCACCACUCAUAAUUGGUGGCUGAUUAGGAUUAAUUUAAUCCAGUGGGCCCCACCACUCAAGGCAAAAAUUAAAAAGGGAUUAGAUUGUGGGUCGGCCUUAGUGGACAGGUGUAGAAGGGGGCUGCCUCCACUUCAUACUAUUAAAUGAGGUGGAGAAAUCCACUCCAUGCUAAAUAAAGUGGUGAAAUGCAUUGCUGCAUAUCAUCUUCUUCUUCACCAAUUGUCUUAGGCAGCCAUGGAAAUGGAGAAACCAACCCUGCAACUCUUGGCCAGCAGUUGCAAAUAAUUUGGUUAGUAAUUUCCUUGUUUGGUGUGUUAAUUCUUUAGAAUACCCUUGUUAAUUAUCCAUUAAUUUUAAGAAGGGGGCGUGACCAGUAGCUUAGGAAGUUUAUUUUAGUUAUUGAAUGUGCUAAGUAUGAACGGAAACCAUAAUCGGAUUAUUAGUGGUGUCGUGUUGGUGCUUAGGCUGUUUUGAUUAAAGCAAACUGCGGGAAAAUUCUGUUUUGGCAUUAUGUAUAUGUUAAAUGUGAUUAUGAGUAUAUAAUCCAAAGGAUGAAUACAAUAAGGUAGAUGUGUUGCGAAUUAUAAAACGAGUUAUCGCUCGGUGUGUCGUUGCUUCGCUGCUAUGGUUGCCGAGACGGAACUAUUUUGGGGAGGGAGCUGUUUAAUAUGAUUUGUUGGGUUAUAUGUGUUAUUGGUAUUGCUGUAGAUAAUUUGGGUUGUUGUCGGAUUGGGACGAAGUAAGGAAAAUAGGGGAAGUGCUGCCGAAUUUUCGUUAGAUUAUUAGCUAGCUUACAAGAAAGUAAAGCGCGAUGUUUAUCUAAUUGCGGCACGAUUGUUGCUUGUUAUAGAUUAAUAGCUUGAGCAGUAAAUAUUGGACGUGCGGCUCGAUUAUAUGGUAUGUAACGAUGUCCCUUCUUUCUUUGUUUGACAUGACUUUUAGAAAUAAGCGAAUAACGGACAUGUUUGAUACUUACCUCUAGAGCGUCUAGGUGACGUAUAUUCUUGCUUCCACAAUUAUUCCUCUAUAUAUCGGCUAUGUCUAAGGCUAUGAUGAUCACUAAUAUCUAUGAUAGUGCUUCUUAUAGUCAUUGAGAUUUUACGUUUCCAUAUCGUAUUAAAGGUUCAUAAUCUUGAUAAAACAUUAAUCUUUGGUAAUACUCCUUGAUGGUUCACGUUGAUUGUUCUAUUGAGUUAUAAGAAAUGAUUUUAAUUGCAUAUGGUUGCUCAUAAUAUUCUGCUCGUGCAUAGAGUCAUUUAUCAUUUCACCGAGUCCCGGGCCGGGUAAUGUUAGUGCGGAGUUUCUUGCAUAUGUCACCGAGUUCCUCACUAGAGGGCCGGGUAUGUAUAUUAUAUAUAGGAUUGGUGAUGAGGAUGGUUAUGAUGAUGAUGAUGACGGAGAUGGCGUGAUGAUUAUUUUGCGGAGCCCCUUACUAGGGAAGCUGGCACCUUAUAUGUUAAAUAUAUGCAUGAUUUUCACUUAAAAGGGUAUAUGUGUAGCGAUAUUUUGUUUCGACUUGCCAUAUUGGUAUCCUGUCAUCUUUACCUUAUGCUUUACAUACUCAGUAUAUUAUCCGUACUGACCCCCCUUUCCUCGGGGGGCUGCGUUUCAUGCCCGCAGGUGUAGACGCACAGUUCAGUGAUCCUCCCGCCUAGGAUAUCUAUUCUGCUGAUUGGGAGAGCUCCACUGUUCCGGAGCCCAGUCGUUUUGGUACAUAACUUUUAUGUAGUCUUUUGCUCGUCUAUGGGUAUGGCGGGGCCCUGUCCCGUCGAGUUUCAUUACUGUACUCUUAGAGGUCUGUGGACAUUAUGUGGGUUGUAUAUAUAUGUUUUGGGUAAUGGUCUGGACAUGGUUUGUUUGGGAUGUCCGCUUGUACAGGGGUAGCCUUGUCGGCUGCGUACAUCAUUGUGUAUUGCGUAGUGGCAGCCUUGUCGGCUUACGUAUGUUAUUAUGCUUUGAAUAGUGGCGGCCUUGUCGGCUCGCGUAUGUUGUUACGGUUGAAUGGUUAUGACUCCUUACGAGGCAGGUCCUCUUUAUAUAUAUAUGACGUUGGGGUUGGCUUGAUUUAAUUAAAUUCCAUAUUGUCUUAGUUUCAGUUGGUUAUACUUAGCAGGUUUGUAUGUGGGUGUCCAAAACGGGCACUAGUCACAGCCCAUCAGGUUGGGUCGUGACAAAGAGUGGUAUCAGAGCGGUUCUUCCUCAAAAGUGUCUACAGACCGUGUCUAGUAGAGUCUUGUUUAUCGGUGUGUUGUGCACCACAUCUAUAAACAGAAAGCUACAGGACAUUUAGGAUGUCAUUCUUUCUUCUUAUUCUAGAUCGUGCGAUAGAGCUAUAUUAACAGGAUAAUCCCUCUUUAACGAAUCCGUGUGUUUUCAGUUAUGCCUCCAAAGAAAGAGACAACGACCCAGAAGGGAAAAUCGAUAGCAGAAGGUACUAGUCAGACCCGGAGAGUUACUAGGGCCCGUGCCCAGUCUAUGCCUGGUAUGAUGCUCCAGUCGGAGAGCUCUGCUACACCCCCACCGCCAGAAGAGCUUAGAGCAGCAGCAGCUCCAGUUCGGGGGACACCACCAGCCCCCGAGGCCCCAACAUCUGAACCUCUAGCUCCUCAGUCAGGGGCGGAGGAUUGGGCCAUGAGAGAUGCGGUUCAAUUGCUGACUAGAUUAGUGGCAGAUCAGGCUCGCAGGCAUGGACUAGGAGUUGAUCAUGCGGACAGAUCUGAUAGUUUAAGGGCUCGUGACUUCUUAAGUUGUAAUCCUCCAGAGUUCUUUGGGUCAAGGCCCCAGGAUGAUCCGCAAGAGUUUAUUCGUCAGAUGCAGCGUACAUUUAGGAUAAUCAAGGCUUCGGAGACCGAGUCUGUUGAGUUGGCUACGUAUCGUUUGCGGGAUGUAGCUAUUAAUUGGUAUGAGUCUUGGGAGUUAUCUAGGGGUGAGGGUGCUCCUCCAGCGGUAUGGGAUGAAUUUGUGGAGGCUUUCCAGGGCCACUUCCUGCCUCCAGAGAUGAAGCGAGCUAGAGUCGAUAGAUUCUUGCGUUUGAAGCAAAAUGGCAGGAGCGUUCGAGAGUAUAGCCUCGAGUUUGAUUCAUUGUCUAGGCAUGCGCCUACUAUUGUGGCUGAUAUGGCAGACAGGGUACAUCAUUAUGUGAUCAGAGAAAUCCAUUCAAGGAAUUGGAAAAUUCCUUGACCAGGUCUUGAAAACCUGGAUUGGAUCGUUAUCUGAUUGAUGGUUGUAUGGUAGUGACUCUUCAGCCAGGUAUGCACAUUGCUCGGGUGCAGGCAUAUGCACAGGGGGUAGAGGAUCGGCAUCGGGGACGUCAGCCAGAUAGAGAUUAUAAUAGAGGCCAGCAUAAGAGGGCUAGAUCAGCAGGUUAUCCUGACGAGUUUCGAAGCGGACAGUCUCAGCAGCAUGUUAGAUUUUCUUCCCAGCCAGCACAGAGUGCACCCCCGCGUUUCAUGGGUAGGGGGUUCGAUCGUAUGGGAUAUUCGGAAGCUGGUCAGAGCUCUAGGGCGUCAGGCUCACAGAUGGGUCGGGGUUUGAGCCAGUCGAGGCCACCUUUGCCUCGGUGUUCUCGUUGUGGUAAGUCCCAUCCUGGGGAAUGUCGUUGGGAUACUGGUGCGUGUUUUUCUUGCGGCCGUCAGGGCCAUACUAUGAGGGAGUAUCACCUUAGAGGUAGUGCAGGUGGUAUGGCACAACCUACAGGGUCCGUUGCUGGUUCAUCUUCUUCUGUGGCUAUGCGCCCUACGGGGCAGGGUAUUCAGGCGCCAGCAGGCCGUGGUAGAGGACGUGGUGGAGCUUCCAGUUCUAGCGGUGCCUCGAACCGUAUAUAUGCUUUGACUAAUAGGCAGGAUUAGGAGGCGUCACCUAAUGUGAUCACAGAUAUAUUAUCACUAUUCUCCCGAAGUGUGUAUACAUUGAUAGACCCAGGUUCCACCUUAUCAUAUAUAUCUCCCUUUGUUGCUAGUAGGAUCGGAAUAGAGUCUGAGUUGAUAGAACCAUUUGAGGUAGCUACACCUAUAGGAGAUUUUGUCAUAGCUACGCGAGUAUAUAGGAAUUGUUCAGUAGUUAUAUAUAGUCGUCGUACCGUAGCAGAUCUAAUAGAGUUAAAUAUGAUUGAGUUUGAUAUUAUCAUGGGCAUGGAUUGGUUGGCUGCUUGUUAUGCUAAUGUUGAUUGCAGAGGAAAGAUAGUUCGAUUUCAAUUUCGAGGGGAACCGAUUAUAGAGUGGAAGGGAAGUACAGUAUCGUCGAAAGGUAAGUUCAUUUCAUACCUCAAGGCCGGGAAGAUGGUUAGAAAAGGCUAUAUUUACCAUCUGAUUCGGGUGCAUGACAUAAAGGCAGAGGCACCGACUCUUCAAUCAGUCCCGGUAGUUAAUGAAUUUCCCGAUGUAUUCCCCGAGGAACUUCCAGGCCUUCCUCCAGAACGAGAGAUAGAGUUUACUAUAGAUGUACUGCCAGAUGCCCAGCCUAUAUCUAUACCUCCUUAUAGAAUGGCACCUGCUGAGUUGAAAGAAUUGAAAGAGCAAUUGAGUAAUUUGCUAGAAAAGGGCUUCAUCAAGCCUAGUACGUCACCUUGGGGAGCACCGGUACUGUUUGUGAGGAAGAAGGAUGGGUCUCUGCGGAUGUGCAUUGAUUAUAGGCAGUUGAACAAAGUAACAAUAAAGAACAGGUAUCCCCUCCCAAGGAUUGACGAUCUAUUUGACCAGUUGCAGGGUGCAAAGUGUUUUUCAAAGAUAGACUUGCGGUCAGGUUAUCAUCAGGUGCGGGUAAGGGAGGCAGAUAUUCCUAAGACGGCAUUCCGGAUCCGAUAUGGGCAUUAUGAGUUUAGAGUGCUGUCUUUUGGGCUGACUAAUGCUCCAGCGGUGUUCAUGGAUUUAAUGAAUCGAGUAUUUAAACCAUUCCUUGAUAUGUUUGUUAUUGUAUUUAUAGACGAUAUUCUGGUCUAUUCACGUUCAGAAGAGGAGCAUGCAGAUCAUUUAAGGAAGGUACUUAGGGUGCUUUAGCACCAGAAGUUGUAUGCUAAAUUUUCUAAGUGCGAGUUCUGGUAAGAAUUUACUUUGCUUCUAGUCGAGACAAUACAAGGGCCAACGGCUUUUGGUAUUCAAAAUGUGUUGGGUUAUUAGUACUAUUUUUCCAAUGUUCAUUUUUUUCUUUUUGGUGAUAUGAAAAAUUGACUUUUUUAUUUUAUUUUUAUUGUUGGCUUUUUUUGGUUUGUGUAUUCAAGAAAAUUUAGAUGUUAUGGUGUAAAAAGUAUAUAUGUUUUUUAACACCUAGAAUGUGGUCUUAAUCGGCUAAAAUAUGUAUUUUUUUUAACUGCAGAUUCUGCGUUCAAUGAUAUCGUAAAGGAUUGAUAUAAUAUCAACCAGCCAAACAGUAUGUUGGUGGUAUCAUUGAUUACUUUGAUUAUGUUGAAUUCAAGAAUCUCAAUCUUACUGACUCGGAAAAGAUGAUCGAUUUAUGUGGUUACAUGAAUGAUUCAAUAAUAUUUUGACAUAAAUGUGAGAAGCUUGGAAACAAAUGGAGAUUUGUCUCUACGGAGGUUGUAAAAGCGCAUAACAUAAAAAAAUUUAUCCUCAAAUAUAGAGUAGUAAAGUUAUAUUUUGAGCAUUUGGACUCUUAUAUUGGAAUAGACGAUACAAUUGAGUUUGGUUGCAUUCCAGGGAAUGAAAAUCGAUGUCGUUGGACCUGUUGAAAAAGAGUUUGAAAGGGAAAACUUAUCCUCGGGAGAUGAUUUUGAGGAUUAUGAAAAUGAAUUCUCCAAUGACGAGCUGAUGGUUGAUAAUUUUGAGGAUGACAGAGAGCUUAUUACCGAUGAAAUUUAAAAAAAAAUGUUACAUGAAAAUGGAGAUCCUUAUUGUGUUAACUCUGAAGAAAAUAAGAGUUUGGAUGGUGAUUCAGACAAUGAAAGUUUUGAUUUUCCGAAGCACAAUGCAAAGACUGGUUGGGGAAAAAAAUCCAAUUUUGGCUUUGAAAUACACUUUUGAAUGCAAGGAAGAGUUCAAAAAUGUUUUACCAACUCAUGAGGUAAGCCAAGGAAAAGAUAUUCAGUGAAAAAAGAAUGAUAAAGGAUGACGGCACAAUGAUUGUACCUGGGAAAUAAUGGCAUAUUCAUUCUUUGGAACUGAGCCAAGAAAACAGAGGUUUUGUUUAAGAUCUUUGUAUGUCACGUGAGUUGUAUAUCUUUGUUUAAUGUGACACAAAAAAAUUUGUGUAGUUAGAUUUUAGGAUAAAAGACUAAAUUGAUAAGUUUUUAACAUAGAUAAAAAAACCUUUUCAUAAGCUACAUACACGAGGGAUCAAAUCAAUCUAAGUCCAUACAUUUAAGGACUAUUUUCAUCAUUUUCUCCUACAUUUUCAAUUUUAAAUUAUCGAUUUAAAAAAAUGAAAAUAUAAAUGUUGAUAUGAAAAGCUUUAUUAAUUAAAUAAACAAUCUAAUUAUCGUAGUUUCAUUCUAAAUUACAUGAUUUUAUAGCAAUAUUAUUGGUUCAAUCAACAAUAUUCAAUCUACUUGAUCGUAAAUUAUGUGACUUUACGUUUCUAUAAAUGACUAUAUAAUAGAAAUAAACAAAUUAAAGUAUAUUUGUGCAAAAUUAUGGUGAGGAAAGAAAUACUUAAAUUUUAUUCAAAUAUAGUUAUGCACAAAAUUCAAAAGUUAGAAAGAUUUUUUUAAUUAUUUUUUUGAUAUUCGUUGCUCGUAAUAACACUCAUUUAAUACAUACUUGUGUCACAUAAGAUCCAUUAAUAUUAAAAAUUUAUAUUUCAACUUUCAAUCUUGUAGGGUGCAUUGCAAGAAGAAAUAAUUAAGUUGCUAUACUGAAACAUUACCGUUGAGAUUGUACUUCUAUAAUAAAAUUAAACACAUAAUUUAAUCGUAUCAAGAUUAUCAGAGUGUUGAAUAAAUGAUUUUUUUCAAAAAAAAGACUACGCAUGUUUAGCGUUGAAGAUGUAGAAAAAGUAUCAAGAGUUGUUAAUACUUUGGACACCCUUAGCAUAAUAAGUUACUAUGGCUUAGCAAUUGGAUGCUCUCUUGUAGGGUCCAAACGCGCAGGUUCGAACCCAUGUACCAACUCAUCUUUGUAGUUAUUUAUUAAGUAACUCUUCUUUUUUUUUUUGAACUCGUAAUUUAUAAGUUUUAAAUUCGAAGCUAUGAGUACGUAUAUUAUUUUUGACUUAAAAUAAGUAUUAAAUCUUUUAUUUAUUUAUUUUAUUCAAAUCUUACAAAUUGCUCAACGAACCCACUACAGAAACACUCAAUCUGAUGCAACAAUUUUGGCAACUGACAAGUGUUCAUUUCGAACUCCUUGUACAAAAUGAUAUAUAUGCGAAUUUAAAUUUGAAAUCUAAAUAUAAAUUUUGAACUUUUAAAUUUGUGAAUCAAAUUCUUAUUUUAUGUUUAGGGGAUUAAAGAAAAAUAAAAAUUACCUUAUAGGUUUAGUAUAAUUUUUUAUUGAAAAAAAGUUCUAAAAACACAUCUCUCUUUUUUAUACUACUUUUAUCAUGGUGUGUGUAAUACACUCUUUUAUUUUAAAAAAAUUGUCACAACACACUAUACAUGGAUAAAAUUAGGGGUGUGCAUCAGUCGGUUCGGUUCGAUUUUAUAUAUUAUCGAUUCGAUUUAUUGAUUUUUUCGAUUUUUAAAUAUGUUAACCCGAUAACAAACCAAUAAGAUAUUCUUUGUCGGUUUUCGAUUUAUCGAUCUUUUAUCAUUAUCUGUUCGGUUUUCGAUUUACCCAAUAAGAAAAUGUCCGUAAAAUAUUAUAUGUCUUCUCACUUCUCUAAAUGUUUUUGAUAUAGUGAAACAAGAAAGAUGAUGAAAGAUUACAUCAAUAAGAUAAAAUAUAGUACGACUGUUAUAAUUACAUGUUAUCAACAAACAUAGUAUGCAUUUUUUUAUGUUAAUCAAGUUACAGACCUUUACAAACUUGCAAAUUCUACAACCUAAAUUUACAAACUAAAACCGGAAAAUGGUCUAAAAUGCCCUUGAAGUAUCAGAAAUGGUACAAAAUUACCCUCCAUCCACCUAUUGGCUCCAAAAUACCCUUCUCAUCCACCUUUUGGCUCCAAAAUAUCCUUCUCAUCCACCUUUGAGUUCAAAAUGAACCACUUAUUUAACGAUUUUAAAUUUUAUCUAGUUAAAAAAAAUUUUAAUACACGACGCUCAACUAUUUGUUAUAAUUUAACUUAUUAAUAUAAUUUAUUAACCAAUCUACUACCCACUCAUCGCUAAUUAAACCACAGCCAAUUAAUAAAUCUGCUUCAUUACUAAUGCAGAACAAGAAAGCUACUAAAAUGAGUAUUUCUAAAAAUUUAAGGCAAAAAUGUCUAUAGAAGUACAUUAUCAUACAUUCAAGUCCUUAAUCAAAAUUAUAAUUCAAGUGUCUGAAUAAAAAUUAACGAUAAACUUAAAAGUCUGACUAUAUUCAUCUUUAUUAUUCAUUUGUCUCAAUUAUGUGAUGUUACUUAAUAGAUAACUUUUUAAAAAAGAAUAUAUUAAAGUUUUAUUAUAUAAAACAAAUAAUAAAUAUUUAUAAAAUUAUAUUUAAAAGUGCAUGAAUUAAUUCGAGAGGUGCUACUUCUUUACCUUCAAUCAUAAAUUUCGAAUUCAAGCUUGAAACAAAAUCCUAUUGAAUGCUUCCUCCUAAAUAAGCGGCUCAACCUAAAUUUAAUUGGGGCUUCAAUUCGGACUCAAUAAUUUUGAAUGUCAUUUUCAGGAAUCGAUAAUUUCGUCGUGCUUUAGUAGUGUUAAGUGUAAUUUUGAUAUUAGAAAUGGUUUGUUAAUUGGGUGGGACUUAAUUUGUAAUGGGUGGUAGUGGGUUGGUUUAUAAAUAAUAAUAAUAAAUUAAAUUAUAUCCAAUAGUUGAGCGCCAAAUAUUUUAAAAAAUAUUUAAAUAGUUUAAAUUUGAAACCGUUAAAUAAGUGGUCAAUUUUGAACCCGAAGGUGGAUGACAAGGGUAUUUUGGAGCCAAUAGGAGGGUGAAAAGGGUAUUUUGGAGCCAAUAGGUGGAUGGAGGGUAGUUUUGUACCAUUUUCAAUAUUUCGAGGGUAUUUUAGGCCCUUUUCCGAAACUAAAACUAAAAUAAACUAGUCCAACAAGACUAAAACUAAAACUAAAAUCAAAUAGCUUCAAUUGUGAACCCUUAAUUUAAUCUUUAGGUUUUGAGUAAAUAGUAAAAUCUAGUAAAGCGGUCUAGUGUGAAGUUGCUAGAGUCCUAAUAAUUUGACAUAGUUAUAGUGUUUAAUUAUAUAUUAAAUUAUUUAUACUUAAUAAUUAGACAGGAUAAAAUAACAAAUUAUUAUCGUCGUAUUGAGUUAUCGAUUUUCCAAUAACCCAAUAGUAAAAAUUGAUACCGAAUCAAUAACCCAAUUUUUUUUAUAAACCCAUUAAAAACUCAAUAACCCAAUAAAAAUAACUCAAUAACAUUUUUCGGUUCAAUUUCCGCACACCCCUAGAUAAAAUAUUCAACUUUGACAAAAAUUAAAUAAAUUAUUAACAUUAGUUAAAAUUAAAAAUUAAAAAUUACUAUCCAAAAAAAUAAUACUUCUUUUAUAAAAUAAAAUAUAAAAUAUUUUUCUUACCCCACUUCAUCACUUUCUCUCACUAGACCCACCCCACCCCACACCCUACCAUAUUUUAAAAUUCUUUUGUUUUGUUUAAAUUUCUUUUAUAAAAGAGUUUAACUUCUUCUUUUUAAUUCAUCUCCCCGCCGCGCUGAAAUACUAAUUUAGAGAUUAUUUUAUUUUUUUAAAAAAAACAAUUCUGCCCACCCCACCUAGCUAACCCUCUGCUUCCAAUUUUUUUUCCAUUUUGUGUUAUAUAUAUAUAUAUAUAUAUAUAUAUAUAUAUAUAUAUAUAUAUAUAUAUAUAUAUAUAUAUAUAUAUAUAUAUAUCUUUUACUUGUCGCGACAAGACAUUUUUUAAUUUUUACUUAUUUAUGUAAUAUUUGGUAUACUAAUAUUUUCUUUUUUUCUAAAAAUAUAUGUAUGUACAUAUCUAACACAAAAUGAAAAAAAGAAAAAAAAAUUAGGUUUGGAGGGUUAAAUAGGAUGGAAUAAGAAAAUAAAAUAAUAUUAAUUUUUUUUUUGGCUGGGGUGGGGGAAUGAGUGGGUGACCUUUUUUGGGAGGGAGAAGUGAAGUAUGAAUUUUUUAAGAAUAUUUUAUAAAAGUUUUUUUUAAUAAAAAAAAAAGGAUGUGGGAUUGUGUGUGGGGGGUACGUAGAGGAGGUGGUGGAGUGGGGUAAGAAAAAUAAAAAUAAAAAUAAAAAUAAAAAUUUAUAACUAUUGAUAGUUAAUUGUUUAACUUUGUCAAGGUAAAAUAUUUAUCUAUGUGAAAUGUCAUGUGUCAAUGAUUUUUUCAAAUUAAAAGAGAGACACACUGAGGUGUAUUUCUCAAAUUAAAAUAUCACAAUCUCAAUAGUUUACGUGUGAAACUCAAAAAAAAAAAACAUAAUUUAGAUAUAUUUUUGAUACUUAUUUCUUUUUUUUAAUUGAAGACUAAUAAAUACCCUCCAAUUCCCUAGAUCCACCCUUGCCCUUCUCUCUCCUAAUGGUAAAAAAAUUUAGGAAAUAUUUUCUUUUAAGGGUCCUAACAUGAUGGUGAUGAAAUUCAAGAUUUACCAAACAGAAAUUAAGAAGGCAAAAGCGACAUUUUAUUGUUAUAAAUUGGAGGGAGCCAAAAGGUAGUAAUAACCACAAAAAUUUCAUCUCCAUUUUGAUUCCCAUAAGUUAUACACACAUCUUUACCUCUAAGAAUGGGAAUUCAAAAGGUAUAAUAUGUUUUUUUUCAAGAUUUUUUAGAAGUUCAAAGACCAAUUCAUUAUUUAUCAACCAUAUACUCAUGAUUAAUUCAUUGAUCAUUUUGUUAAAUCAUAAAACAUAUGUUUGAAUGUUUAUCUAAAGUUUUUUCCCUUUUUUUAUGGGUUUUGAAAUAGGAGUUUGAUUUGAUGGCAGUCUCAACCAAAGGUGAUGACACACCAUUGAUAUUGAGGAAGAAUUUGUGUGUCAAUGUGGUGGAACCUAAUAUUAAAAAUGAAAUAUCUUCACAAAAAUUGGACAUAAUUUUGACUCAAUUUAUGGAGAUACUGUCCAAGAGGAAAAAGUAUCAUAUUGGUAAGCAUACGUUUAAGUCUUUUCGUAAAAACAUAUUUACUUUUAACUCAACAUAAUUAAACAAACAUUAGAGAGGUAAAAUCUCUAUAGACGGUAUGACUUUGAGGUUUAAAAUUCACUUUUUAUAUUAGAAAAUCACUCAAUUUUGUGUUGUAACUCAAAGUCAUUCAAGUAUAGAUUUUUCACUUAGAAAGUUAUUCAGCUUUGUUUUAUAUCUCAAGAGUCUUUCAAUUAUAUUAAUGAUAUUUCACUCUGAAAAUCACCCUAAACAAUUUUUAAAUUAAUGUUGUUGAAAUACAUUUUAUAUUAAGCUAAAUUUUUAAAGAACAAAAAGAUACUCAUUUGAACUAUUCUAUUGAUUACAUAACUCAAUUCCUUUGUUUAUCAAAGUAUUUAUGAGUUGAAAGGCAUACAUUGGUUAUCCCUAACUAAUUUUAUAACUUAUUUAAACGUUUUGAUUUGAUCAAACACUUAUGAUUUUAUUCUUAAUUUACAGGUUAUCCAAUUAACGUGUGUUACGAACAUCAUGCCACUUUAGCCCCACUUUUGCAAUUUCAUUUGAACAAUUGUGGAGACCCCUUUACUCAGCACCCUACAGAUUUUCAUUCAAAAGAUUUUGAAGUGGCUGUUUUAGAUUGGUUUGCACAACUCUGGGAAAUAGAGAAAGAUGAAUAUUGGGGAUACAUUACUAGUGGUGGCACUGAGGGCAAUCUCCAUGGCCUUUUGGUUGGGUAGGGUUUCACUUUCAGAGGCGAAUCUAGUUUUUGAGCUACGAAUUUAUUUAUAUAGUCGGAGAUGUCUAAAUGAUAUAAUGUGCUUUUAUCACUUUUAUGCAUUAUUAUAUAUUUGUGCAGAAGAGAGCUACUUCCAAGUGGGAUAUUAUAUGCAUCAAAAGAUUCACAUUACUCGAUUUUCAAAGCAGCAAGAAUGUAUCGAAUGGAGCUACAAACUAUCAACACUUUAGUUAAUGGGGAGAUUGAUUAUGAAGAUUUGAAAUCAAAGUUGCUUGUCAACAAGAACAAACCAGCUAUCAUCAAUAUCAAUAUUGGUAAAAAUACAUACAUAUAUAAUCCUACAUCUUAUAACAUCACCUUUGGUAAAUUAGUAUAUAUCUGUGUAUAGGAACAACCUUCAAAGGAGCUAUUGAUGACCUUGAUUUCGUCGUACAAACACUUGAAAAUUGUGGAUAUUCCAGUGAUAGAUAUUACAUCCAUUGCGAUGCAGCCUUGAGUGGCUUAAUUCUCCCCUUUAUCAAACAUGUAAGCUUAUUUUUGUUCAAUUUUCCUUCAACGUUUUUCGAUCGAAGUUACAAUGACAUAGUCUCUUUCUAUGGUAUUUGACAAUAGGCAAAAAAAAUUACCUUCAUGAAACCAAUUGGAAGUAUUUCAGUUUCAGGGCACAAAUUCUUGGGAUGUCCAAUGCCUUGUGGCAUUCAGAUAACAAGGAAAACUUAUGUUAGCACCCUCUCAAAAAUUGAGUAUAUUGCCUCAAUAGACACAACAAUUUCUGGUAGUCGAUAUGGAUUGACACCAAUAUUCUUGUGGUACUAUUUAAACAUGAAAGGACAUGCCGGAUUGCAACAAGAUUCCAUAACAUGCAUUGAGAAUGCUCGAUAUUUGAAAGAUAAACUUGUUAAAGCAGGAAUAGGUGCUAUGCUCAAUGAAUUUAGCAUUAUAGUUGUUUUUGAACGACCUUGUGAUCAUAAAUUCAUUCUCCGUUGGCAACUGUGUUACUUAAGUGGCUUGGCACAUAUUGUGGUUAUGCCAGGUAUCACAAGAGAAAUAAUAAAUAGUUUCUUCAAUGAACUAAUGCAAGAGAGGAAGAGGUGGUUUCAGGAUGGAAAAACUAAGCCUCCUUGUCUAGCAGAUGAGUUUGGCUCUCAAAAUUGUAUGUGCUCCCAUAACAAG